CGAACAUGAGGCAAAAAAAAAAAAAAAACGACACACACGCACGCUCACCAGACGCGACGCAACCCUAAGCUAGCGCGGCGGCGGCGGCUGGCCAGGUCGCGAGGACCAGGCGGGCGACUGACGACGGCGGCAGGCUGGGGGCUUAGAGGGCUGCGGCAGCAAGCUCCAGCGGUGGCUGCAGCGCGGCUCCAGCUAAGGCAGCAAGCGACGUCUUCAGCGGCGGCAGCAACCGGUGGCUCCAGUGGCGGCAGCAAGCUCCAUUGGGAUUUUCCUGGCAAUUCCUUGGUAAUUACUCAGGGUCCGAACCAGAGACUAGUUGCAGCCACUUUGUUAGAUUACUAGAAGAUGGAUAGAAAGGGGAAUGGACUAGCAAAUCCAAAGAAAAGGGGAAGAGAUUUGAAGAAGUAUUUUGAAGUGCUUGGUAGUGGCAGCAACUCAAAAUCAAAUCCAAGCACCCGUGAAAGUGUCAAUAUUUCGGCACAUGCCAUUGAAAGCUUCAUUAUCGGUAUAUUUUAGGUGGAUCGGCAGUCAAGCAUUCUGCAGCGAGAAUCACCGGUGUUGCAAGGCAAGCCAGAGAAAGAAACAACAUUCGGGGGCACAGGAUUUUGUGGCCUGGAGAAGAUGGUGUGAUGUACGCAUUCUAGAGACUAGAGCCAACCAGGGGUGGUGCCUUGAUGGUGAGCGUUAUUGUACGCACUUCACUUGUGUUGUCAAGAAAAUGGAACAGUGCACUCGUGCUCAUAGUUAUCUAGCGGAUUUGUGAUUAGGAGGCGCCCGGGGCGUCGGAUCCGCUUCACGAUUCGCGACGGUGGUUCGGUUUUGUAUGUGGACUGCGGUAGAGACAAGUGGAGCAGAAGACGCCGUUUUAUCACUUGUCCUUUUCCAUGUUUUUACUUCUUUCCUUGUGGUUUAGAUGGAGAGAAAAAAGUUCAUGUUUCUUACCGUGUAAGAAAUGUAUUCUACUAGUUAUUUGGAUAUUUUGAGUCAUUAUUAUUUAAAAGAAUAACAAAUCAUGUAUUUCUCUACA